AGAGUUUGAUCCUGGCUCAGGACGAACGCUGGCGGCGUGCCUAACACAUGCAAGUCGAACGGAGUAGAGACUUCGGUUUUUACUUAGUGGCGAACGGGUGAGUAACGCGUGAGAAACCUGCCUUUCAGUGGGGGACAACAGUUGGAAACGACUGCUAAUACCGCAUAAUGUAUCGAUAGGGCAUCCUAAUGAUACCAAAGAUUUAUUGCUGAAAGAUGGUCUCGCGUCUGAUUAGCUAGUUGGUGAGGUAACGGCUCACCAAGGCGACGAUCAGUAGCCGGUCUGAGAGGAUGAACGGCCACAUUGGGACUGAGAUACGGCCCAGACUCCUACGGGAGGCAGCAGUGGGGAAUAUUGGGCAAUGGGGGAAACCCUGACCCAGCAACGCCGCGUGAAGGAAGAAGGCCUUCGGGUUGUAAACUUCUUUUACCAGGGACGAAGAACAUGACGGUACCUGGAGAAAAAGCAACGGCUAACUACGUGCCAGCAGCCGCGGUAAUACGUAGGUUGCAAGCGUUGUCCGGAUUUACUGGGUGUAAAGGGCGUGUAGGCGGAGAUGCAAGUUGGGAGUGAAAUCCCGGGGCUCAACCCCGGAACUGCUUUCAAAACUGCAUCCCUUGAGUAUCGGAGAGGCAAGCGGAAUUCCUAGUGUAGCGGUGAAAUGCGUAGAUAUUAGGAGGAACACCAGUGGCGAAGGCGGCUUGCUGGACGACAACUGACGCUGAGGCGCGAAAGCGUGGGGAGCAAACAGGAUUAGAUACCCUGGUAGUCCACGCUGUAAAUGAUGAAUACUAGGUGUGGGAGGAAUGACCCCUUCCGUGCCGCAGUUAACACAAUAAGUAUUCCACCUUGGGGAGUACCACCCGCAAGGUUGAAACUCAAAGGGAAUUGACGGGGGCCCGCACAAGCCAGUGGAUUAAGUGGUUUAAUUUUAUGCAAGGAGAAGAACCUUAUUAGUACUUGACAUCCAAAUAAUGAAGUAGAGAUACAUUAGUUGCCCUUCGGGGAAAGUUGAGACAGGGGGUGCAUCGUUGUCGUCAGUUCGUCUCGUGAGAUUUCGGGAGAAGUCCGGCCACGAGCUCAACCCCUAUGGUUAGGUUCUUCGCAUGAGCCCUGUAGCAAGUCGUCCCUUGACAAAACGGAGGCAUCCCCGGAUGACGUCUAAUCAUCAUGCC
rnacentral:rRNA from 1 species